AAAAAAGUGAAGAUCGGCGGUGUGAGAAAAAUGGACAUAAAGCUAAUAAAAAAGAAUUAUAGUGAAAUAAAAAACGGAACAGCAAAGUGUAAUUUGUGCAAUAAAAUGGUAAAAACAAGUGGAAACACCACAAAUUUGACGUCACAUGUUAAAAAUAAACAUAACGAAUUUUUUUUAAAGUGUCAGCAAAAAAAGAUUUAAAAAAAUGUACAUAUCACCCAUCGGGGUACAGGAGGCAACAAAUGAUUUGUUGAACGAAAUUUCUACCUUUUCAAAGGAAACCCCGAUUUCUGAUGACAAUGCAGAGGAACAGUGUGUCGAU